rnacentral:lncRNA from 1 species
UAUGAUACAUAUAUAUUAUCUUUCUAUUGCAGUGCUGGGGAAAGUGGCAAGAACCUUGCAUAUGGAAGGGCUAUUCGGCAGCUCUCAAUCUCCAGUCUUCAUGUAAUAUAUUUAGCCCUCUAAUCACAAUAAAGUUAUCCCUUCUUUUCAGAUAUCAUUCUUAUCUUCUUACUUCUGUUGUGGCAACUGCAGUUCCGUUCCUACUUUUUCUUGCUUUGUUUGCUAAAACGUUUCUUGGGAAAUAUGUUUUUCCUCUGAUAAAUUUCUGGCAAUUUCCAAAUCCUGAUAGCUUUGGCUGCUUUAUGUGCACUUUGGCACUUUCCUAGACCAAACUUUGACACCUUGUGUUUCACUAUAUGUCUGUUGUUAGAUUUAUUCUGCCAUUACCUAGCAGAGGUAAAGCAUGUAUGUUUUGUCAGUUUCCUUUAUAAAUAAUAGCUACUCCCGGAUUUAUAUUCUAAGUGGAUUAAUCACCUAAUUGUAUGCUGAACUUUGGUGACUGUAAUUGAGAGCUUCUCCUUCUGAAAUAAUUGAAGUAUUUAAUUUAGGAAAUGGGCCUUGGAUGUUAAGGGUCUUUAUUUUAUUCACAGCAUGGAGAAAUGUUCUCAAUAAGCGAGUAAACAAAGGCCACACAGCUUCCGAGUUAUUCAUUAAUGAUGAGAAGGCUGUCUGUGAGGACAUACAUCAAUGUCUCUUACUACACCAAUUUUAAACUAUGGUCUGAAUCUGUUACCAUAUUUAAGAAAUGGUAUAUUAAAAAACUCUUUUCUCUUUCAAUUACCAUAAAAGCACCUUUAAAUCAAGUUUAAUCCAAUAAUUGUAUAUGUAGUUCCCCUGCUGAUAUUAGUAAGGAGUAAUGAAUGAUUUUCCUAAGAUUGAAUUAAGCAACUUGUAGAGGGGGAAACCUAUGAAGUCAGUGCAAUUUCAUUAAAAUCAUUAUUAGUUUCUGGUAGGGAUUAUAAUAUGCAUUCUGUGAACACAGAUCGGCUUUCAGGUGGUAGAGCACUAUUUAUGAUUAAAAAUCUCUUUGGGAGAGCUCUCACUGAUCAAGGCAGCUUUAGUUACUGACAUUGCUUGCAGUAUUUCUUCGUCUUCCAAUAGCAUCAGUCUGAGGAAGGUUAAGCACUUUAUUGGUUGAUUUGACUUAGGGACGCUGGUGUUAAUGGACUAUAUGUGAUGUGUACAGACACGAGGAAAUUAAAGGUAUAAUGAGAACUUAUAUAAGAACAUACACUCUUUUGUGUAUAAAGAGUUUACAUGAGCAGGUAUUUAUGAUCAUUUACAUAUAUAAAUACAUAUUUUUUCUUAGUUUGGAUACAGUGCUUACUUUCAAAUAAUAUUCACACAAGUGAGUUUGUUUGUAGAGACAGGCAGUCUCUUCUAUCUAAGUUUUCUGCUUAGGUUUUAUGUCAGAUACAAUUUUCCAAGUCACCCUAUGUUUUAAUACUAUAUAUUUAGAUGUUUGUAUAUUAAAGAAUUGCUCAAGUUCACAAAGUUCCGUGCUAUUUUUUCAGUAGGCUAAACUCCAAGCUUAUAUUUUAUGUUACCAUAUUUAUUCAGUUAAACAUUUGAACUCUUCAAAUGCUCUCCUGAAAUAUUUCAGGUUUAACUGUGUCUAUGCUGUCCCUGCCUGCUCUCAUCUCCUCUACAGUUUCAGUCUUAGAGGUUGCUGGAGAGAAGCAGAUCUCUCAGGCUUACUCAGUCAAGGUGCUGUGAGAUCUCAGCCAUCCUGGGUGGCAAAGAAACAGUGUCUUGGUGAAGUGCUGUCUUUACAAAUAAGGGUAACUUGAAGCACCUUACUGGACAAAGCAUGUCACUAGUUCAGACAGCGAAGGGUUGACUUAGUAGAAAGCAUAGAUGGCCAAUAUUCCUGGCAGUUUUUCUCUAUAUUUUUGUUUUGUAUUGUAUUUUAAUAUUGUGCCUCUGCACAUAUUUAUAGAUGCAUUUUUCCUGUUCACUCCUUAGCUUUUUUGCAUACUGCUAAGAGCUAGCACUUGCAUGAAGUGUCCCAGAACUGCCAAAUUAUUCUUUUCCCUUGGAUGCACUGCAUUGUGUCAUGAAUUUGAGUACCUAAAAAUUAUUUUCCUUUGUAGACUUAGACCCAGUUGAAGCCUAGUUAUGCAGAAUUUUCUCCCAAGAUUCUCAGAUACAGCAUAGCAUUUAGCAUCAGUGCUUGAUGCUUGCCUCAGAAAUGGAGUACUAAGUGCAUGGUUUUCUAAGUUGUGAUUUUAUCCCUAGUUAUAGGCAUAUUUCCUUUUGAAAAAGUUUGAGCUAAUACAUAAAGAUUUUUUUUACUUUGAUCAAUAACCAAAAUGACUAAUACCACAUACAUCAAUAAAGAAAAAUGUAUCCCAUUUGAAAUGAUUCCUUGAAAUGGGUAAUAAGUUCUGAUCAUACUGAAAUUUGUGUCAAGAUAGUGAGAACCUUUUAGUUGAGUACACCAUAGAUACCUUGGAGGAGGGAAUGUCAGUCAAGAAGUUACCUCCUUCAGAUAAGCCGAUGAGGGACAGGCAUGUCUGGGGGGGAUCAUUUCUUAAUUGCUAAUUGAUAUAGGCAUUCCCAGUACACUAUGGGUAGUAUACUUACCUAGGUGGGCUUUGAAUAUAUAAGUCAGCUGGGCAAGCCAUCCUUGAGAAUGUUGUAAGGAAAUUAAACAUGCUCUUCUGAGUGUGAAAUUAACAGCAUAAAUGCGUCAGGGAUUUUGAGUGUAUGUUUAUAUGUUUUAUCGCUUCUCUACUAGUAGAUUAUAAAGGUGUUGCUCUUGUUCGUUCUAAAAAGAAGCUGAAAGAUCUGUAAGAUGUAUCACUUAACGCAUUUUCAGUUUUGUUUACAAGCAUGAGUUCUUUGUGUCUGUAAACAAGGCAGCUUGAGAAGAGUGGGUACAUUUUCUUUUAAGAAAG